GUUUCCCUGGCAUUCCAUUGUUAUCAUGCACAUUCAUUUAAAGAUGCUCCAAGAUGUUAAAAAACUGUGGCAUGGUAUGUUUUCUGUUUAAGGAGACAGAAGCCUAGAGAAGCAAGCUGUGUUACUGCAGGCCAUGUGACUGGGUAACAGGAAAUCCCCUUCUCCUGACUUCUCUACUAGGAGACCCAAGAUGGAAUCCCAGGAUCCUCAGGAAGGAAUGAACCACUUUCAAAUCAGUAACACAUUGCUAAAGACCGAAUAUUAGCUCACAUGAGAGUAUGUAAUCACAGGAGGGCAAAGACAUCAGGAGCUCUCCUCUCUGAGGUUUUUCAUCCAGAACCUCCUCCACAUGUCCACAGUUCAACACAACAGGCACAGUGCAUUUUGGAAAAAAAAUUGACAAAUUGAACCUCAUGAAAAUUACAAAUUCCUUCCCUUCAGAGGGCACUGUUAAGAUGAAUAAGCCAGCCACGAGCUAUGAGAAAAUAUUUGCAAAAUUCAUAUCUGAUGAAGGAUUAGUAUAGAUAAUCUAUAAAGAAUGCUCAAAACUCAAUAAUAAGAAAACAACAUAAUACAAAUGGGCAAAGGAUUUGAAUAGAUACUUCAUCAAGGAAGAUACAGAGAUGAUGGAUGUGGACAUGAAAAGAUGCAGAGUGUCAUUAGUCAUCGGUAAACUCUAGUUAAAAACCACACUGAGACGCCACUACCUAUGCAAUAGGACAUCAAAAAUAACUUUCAGAAAUUUAAUUGGCAACUCGAAAGGCAAAGAAUGGGAACAUUUGCAGCCUUCAUCCUUGCCUGGAGUGUACACAAAGCUGUAUAGCCACUUGGAAAGCAGUCUGGC